UACAGAGGUCUCAAGCGUUGUUCGGAUUCAUUGGGCGUAAAGGGUGUGUAGGUGGCGCCGUAAGUCAGGUGCGAAAUCUCGGGGCUUAACUCCGAAACUGCAUUUGAUACUGCGGUGCUUGAGGACUGGAGAGGAGACUGGAAUUUAUGGUGUAGCAGUGAAAUGCGUAGAUAUCAUAAGGAAGACCAGUGGCGAAGGCGGGUCUCUGGACAGUUCCUGACACUGAGACACGAAGGCCAGGGGAGCAAACGGG
rnacentral:rRNA from 1 species